GCCUGCCCCCACUGGGACAGCAAGGGCAGCGCUGAGCACGGGGGGAGCUGAGACCCCAGCUGAGUGGGGGGACACCCAGGCAGGGCAGGUCGGCUGCCAACCAGGUUUGCCUGGUCUAGACGUGCUGCUGGGAAGUGAUUACACAGCAGGAAGGGAGCUACCAGGGACAGGGCUCAGGGGGGCUGUGACCCCAGGCCCAGCGAGCAAGAGGGAACAGGUCCCACUCCCUGCCCCAGCUGCUGAAUCCCAGACCGAGCUGCAGAAGGAUCCCUCCUUGGAGAAGCUGAGGAAACUUGCUGGCCACAGCGCUGCAAACCCCCUUGGGGAAGGCUGCAGGGACAGAGUCCUGCAGGAGAAGGGAUUCCUGUACCGGGAAUGGGCUCCCCAAGGGGAAGUAGAACUGGGGGGAAUCGGGAGGCAGCUGGUGGUGCCCCAGGAAUCCACAUGGUUCUUCCCAUUUGAGCUGCUGGAUGGGAGGAGAGUGAGGGGACCCCUGGACCUGAAGGGGGAGGAUUGGAUGGAGAAGGGGGAAGACCCCUUGGGGGAUCUCUUCCCCGAGGUGGGAGCCAAUCUCCCCAUCAGGUGUUCCCCGUUCAGAGUCACUGGGAAAGCAGCCCAGAACCUGGAGAGAGAGGUCAAGGACCUGCUGGCUUUAGAUGGGAUCCAGCCGUUUUACAGCCCAUGGGCCUCACCCGUGGGGCUGAUCCCCAAGGGAGACAGGAAGAUCUGGUUUUAUGGGGGCUAUCGGAAGCUUAAAGCCAUCACAGUGUCCGAUGCCGACCCCAUGCCUAGGCCUGGGGAGAUUCUAGACAAGCUGAGGAGGAUGGAGAACUUGGCCCUGGCAGACACUGAUAACAUGUGCAUCUUUAGCCAGACCUGGGAGGAACAGGUGUCCCAGGUGAAGGGGGGGCUGGGCUGCCUCAAGGAGGUGGGACUGACGGUAAAAGCUGGAAAGUGCAAGGGGGGACGGCAGAGGUGUUGUGUCUGGGCCACAAAGUGGGAAACGGCUGCCCAAGCCCAGAGCUGGCCAAGGCCAAGAUGGGGGCUCUUAACCAAGACAGCCCGAAUCACAGACCAGAGGGCUGGGAAAAGACCCAAUCCCAGUUUGAACCCCAGGGGUACUGGGGUGGCAAAGGGUGUGGGCUGCAUAAACCUUCCCACAUGCGGCCUGCAAGUGCCAUCAAGCACACCCGACCUAAGGGAGGGCGUGAGACUGGACUGUCCUGAUGUAACUCACACCAAGGAAUGGGAGAGAUGCUGGGGCAUCCAUGGGAACGUUGGUGGGUUCGAACUUCCCCAGGUCACUGGCUGGAGUGACCUCGCUCAGUUCGGUCUCGAAGGGGGGAGAGAUGUGACGAACUGGGAAUGUUCUUAAUGUUUUCUCUGAAUACUGUGUUGGUGCCUCAGUGUCCCCAUGGCAGUUCUUAAGUAUCUGGCAGAGCAAAGGGCCAGUGCACCUAAAUGCCUGGCACUCUGUCUCCUAGCAACUGAUGGCCUGGGCCCCUCCUCUGCAAAGGUGCCAGCUGAAGGUGUUGGAGACAAAGAGAUCAGGUGACCUCCUGGCCCAGGAAAGGAACUGAGCAGAGGAGGAGGGGCUGGAGGGGGUUUCAGUCUGGAGCUGGCUGGGGACGAGGAGUGAAGUGCAGAGGUGGGGGUCUGGCUCACUGCCCCGAAGAAUGGACCCGGCUGAGGGGUCCAGUUUGCUGUAUCUACAAGCUCUGUUUUAGACCCUGUUCCUGUCAUCGAAUAAACCUCUGUUUUACUGGCUGGCUGAGAGUCACGUCUGACUGCGAAGUGGGG